UGCCUCAGCAGUUGCCCUCCCCAGAGAGAAAUGGGCAGCUCGGUGGCACUCAGCCCAGGCGGUCUCCUGUCCCGUGGCGGCAAGCUGACAGGUGGAAGGAGGCAAUCGCCCGGCUCUGGGAUGCUGUGGCCCUGGUGGUCUCCCGCCCCGUGCUGGCAAGCUGGCAAGCGGAAGGAGGCAAUCACCCGGUGCUGAGAUGCUGUGGAGAAAGGAGAAGGUAAGUACAAAGUUUAGUUGCUGGUGGGAUCGCUACUUGAAGGCAACUGACACUCAGCUCUGAAGCUGGUUGAUGUCUGGCAAUGGACCUGACGUGGUUGCAGCUGGUGGAUGGUUGUUGGAAGAGUUUGCAUUCAAGCUAGUGGAUGCUGCAAGGCUACGCUGGCUGAGAUGGAUGUAAACUGGUUUGAAGCCUUGUUUGUUAACAGGCAGCCAAACAGAGGAGGAAUCUGGGGGCGCUGUCGGGUGUUGGCUAUCCCACUCACCUGUUUGCCUUUGCCUUACAGGGAUGUUUGGAGCUGGUGAGGUUUU
rnacentral:lncRNA from 1 species